GAUCACUUAGAAUUACUCCAACAAUGUAUUUGUGAACUAUUACUAUCAAAGUGGUUUAUAGUGUGCAACGGUCUGUUGGAUAGUUACCAGUUGUGUGUUUUUAUUGUGUACAAUUAAUGAAAAAGACAGUUCAAGGACUAUCAUAACAUAGAAAAAUACACACACAAGACAUAAAUAAAAAUAAUUUAGUGCACUCAAGAUGAAAGUGCUGAAGGGAUGUAUAAAUAAAACUGUGUACUCAAAUGUACUGAAGAGGGACCUUUUUUAGAAAAGGACCGAAAUGCAUCUAUAGUAAUAGAAUAAAGUGAAAUCAUUGGCUAAAGCUGUGUGAUAGUCUACCGCCAAUAUUAAAAUUUACA